rnacentral:rRNA from 1 species
GUCGCCUCCUAAAAGGUAACGGAGGCGCUCAAAGGUUCCCUCAGAAUGGUUGGAAAUCAUUCAUAGAGUGUAAAGGCAUAAGGGAGCUUGACUGCGAGACCUACAAGUCGAGCAGGGUCGAAAGACGGACUUAGUGAUCCGGUGGUUCCGCAUGGAAGGGCCAUCGCUCAACGGAUAAAAGCUACCCCGGGGAUAACAGGCUUAUCUCCCCCAAGAGUUCACAUCGACGGGGAGGUUUGGCACCUCGAUGUCGGCUCAUCGCAUCCUGGGGCUGUAGUCGGUCCCAAGGGUUGGGCUGUUCGCCCAUUAAAGCGGUACGCGAGCUGGGUUCAGAACGUCGUGAGACAGUUCGGUCCCUAUCCGUCGUGGGCGUAGGAAAUUUGAGAGGAGCUGUCCUUAGUACGAGAGGACCGGGAUGGACAUACCUCUGGUGUACCAGUUGUCGUGCCAACGGCAUAGCUGGGUAGCUAUGUGUGGACGGGAUAAGUGCUGAAAGCAUCUAAG